rnacentral:lncRNA from 1 species
GUGAAUGCAGCAAAGAAGACUGCAGAAGCUAGGGGUGGGAAUCGGGUCGGGUUCGGGUGCCCUACCCGAAAAAUUCAGGUACCCGAACCCAAAAUUCAGUCAAAAUUCCUACCCGAUCCUAAACCCAAUUCUAAAAUCGGGUACCCUAAUACCCGACUCGGGUACCCGAUUCGAGUAUUCGGGCAUUCGGGUACCCUAAAAUACCUUAUCCAAAUCACUCUAGCAAAUGAAUAAUGAAUUAAUUACCAAAUUGACAAACACCGCCCUAGCAAAUGCAUACAUCACCAAAUUGACAAACACCGCCCUAGCAAAUGCAUACAUCACCAAAUUGACAAACACCAGUGCAGCGUAAAAUGGGAAUUGUCUAUGCUGAACAUUGUUCACGUGAACACUGCCGUUACGAUCAUGACACGUGUUAUUCACAAUAAACCAGCCAAAUAGUGUUUUUAUUGAGCCAGACCGGUUCUUCACGCCUAAACCACCGGUUCAGUGGAGCAAAUGGUUUCCGCUUUACUGCCCUUGUUUACUGUGAAAAUGUCAGAUACGAUUUUCCUUAACCAAUGAGCAUUUUAUUUCAUAGCAGAGAUGAUGGCAGAUAUGAUGUUUCCUUAACCAAUGAAUGAGCAUUUUAUUUCUUUGGACUUGUCUAUGAAAAAAAGUAGAAAACAAUUUUCGACUUCUGGUUAGGGUUUUGCGGGGCAAGAUAUCCAAAAUUCCAAAUAUCAAAAAUUUGAAUCGUUUUUUCAUUCACAGAUGGAAAGUGGAGAAUCUAAAACACCGAGUGUGUAUAUAUUUCGUCGUUGUUGUUUUUUCUUUGUCUUUUUCCUUUUUUUUGGUGCGUUUGAAUUUCUAAUAUGUUCUUGUUAGUAAAUUAAUUUUAUGUCAUACAAAUUCGAUGGGUUCAGAUUUACAUGAUGUUGUGGUGUUUAUUUUUGUUUGAGAAGAAGAGUCAUCAGUUCAACCAAAUUUCCUUGAAAUUUUUGGUUGUUCUGGGUUAAGCCGUCUUCUCUGUUCUUCCAUACACGGUACACGGUACACGGUACACGAUACACGGUACAAUAAAAUCCUACGCAAUUUAUUGUAGGAUUUUACACGAUAUAUCUUCCAUGCACGGUAAACGUUCCACGGUUACACGAUACCCAAUUUAUUGUAGGAUUUUACACGGUACUGUGUAGGAUUUUACACGGUACACGGUACACGUAUCGUUCGAAUCUCGUUCCACGUGUUCUUAUUUUUCUAGUUUUUGUAAUAUAUGUUCUAUGUAAUUUUCGGCACCUACUACCUACUACAUGUUCUACAUAUCAUGAUGAAUUGAUGAUGUACUUCUCUUUGUAACUGCAGUGGAAGUGAGGAGUAGAUGUAGUGUGUGGUAUGUGGACGAGAUUAGAAGGCUACUAUCGGAGUCUAACAUAUGUCAAUUGCGGAACUCUUGCUUUGGACAUUUGUUCGACGUCCGUGAGCUUAACUUCCAGGGAGAAUUAAUGAAGUUGUUGUGUAGGAGGUUACAUUCAAAUGGAGUUGAUAAGAGUACACUAUUGUUUAAGUUUGGUAACCGUACUGUUGAGUUUGGUGGAGCAGACUUUUGUGUUAUGUCUGGUUUAAAAUUUAGUGGUCCUUUGUCACUCCCAAAACAGUCCAACUUCCAUUCGGAUGUGUUCGAAUCUCGCUCUAUAUUGUUUCUUCAUGAUAUAAAACUGAAAUUUCGAAAGGCAUGUGCAGAGAGUGGAGGGAAUUGUGUUAAGAGUCUAAAGCUAGCAUUUUUAGUCAUCAUAUACGGAAUGUUAGUUAUGAAUGAUUUUAAGAGUGUUAAAUUGGAUUUGGGCUAUUUGCAUUUGAUGGACGAUCUUAAGAAGGUUAACGAGUAUCCAUGGGGUUAAGCUGCUUACGAUUUUCUUGUGAGAUCAACACAUUGUUUGAAGAGCGAAUUGUUGAAUUCAGCAAAUGGAAGUGAUGAUACUUUUGUGGAAACAUAUGGAUUUGUUUGUGCAUUGCAAUGUUGGUCAUAUGAAGUAAACCCUGCAUUGGCGACAAUGUGCGCAUCGUUGAACCUUGAAGAGUUACAGUCAUUUCCUAGAAUCCGAAGAUGGGUUCCUAUUUCAGAUUUGAGUUCAUUAGGAGAUGCUUUGUCCAAGUGUUUUUUGCCAACUCCGGUAAGAAUCAUUUUGCGGUGGUACUAAUCAUUUACACUAUAAUUGUGUAAGAAUUAAUUUUGUUAACAUUCAAAGUUUUCAUUUUCAUGUAGGUUCGCAUAUCCUUGACUCCUGGAGAAAUUGAAAAGUUGUUGGACCUGGGUAUAUCUUCGCCAAUUCAUGUUGCAUCGCCAAGUUCCGUUAUUAACAUACCGAAGAACGUUGGACGCAAGCUUGAUUUUGGUAGCGUGGAGCGUAAAGAAGCUGACACGAAUAAUGAAACACGUAAGAGGAAGAGUCCAAGUAUCCCAAGCUCACCUUUGACCAGCAAUGAGUCGAAGUCUAUGGCCAAUGUUGAAGGUUCGGUUAGCAGAGUAAAGGCGAUGAAGAAUCGUGUUCCGAAAUUGAGUUUGAGUCGUAAAGGCAUGCAAAAUUCAAAGGAUCAAACUCCUCCUAGUGAAAGCAAUUCCAAUAUCAAUUUUCUUAGUCCUUUCAGUGAAAGCUUUGGCGGGCAUGGCAACAACAAUGUGAGUUAUUACGUGUAAUCAUUUGUUUGGUAUAUAAAUUGGUCCAUCAUCUCUAUAAUUAUAUGUAUCUUUGCGUAGGAUGUAUGGACUUUGUUCCUCAGUUUGAAAGGUCAAAUGAAGUGCCUUGAAGAAUUUGUGGAAAUGAAAUUCAAAAUGAUUGAAGCUUGUGUGGACAAGUUUGCAACUGUUAUGGGUUCUUCAUGUUCGCCGAAAGUGGGUUGUGUAAAAGUGGGAGUGAAAGGCGAUAAUUCUUCAUAUUUGGAGCAUUGUUUGGUUUCUGGCGUUGAGAACACGGAUCGCCGAUCUGUUGGCAACGAGCAUGUUGAUCUGGAAUUCGGUUCGCAUAUGUCGAGGGCUUCUGUAGGUGUUGGAGGUGUUUGUGCUUUGUGUAGCGAAAACAAGAAUGUUCAGAACGUCGAUGCGAAUUUGGUUUAUGAUCCAAACGACUUCAAAAGUGGGUAUCGUGAUUUGAAGGCAUAUUUAGAUUGGACUGGGAAGCCAGAUAAUAGUAGUAGGUAAUUGCGGCGUCAUUUAUUUUAGUUAUGGUUAUUAUUAUAUUAUCUUGGUAAUUUAAUUAAAUUUGGUAUAGUAACAUGCAUUUUUUGAAUGUAUGUAUUGUAGGAAAAAUCUUGUUCGUCUCCCAACGGAUGUAUUGCAAUAUGCCGAUUUGAGUUGGUUCAAUACCCUUUGGAAGCGUGAUGGGUGGUUGGACAAUAUGGUAAGUUAUUUUUUAGUGAUUAGGUUAAUAUUAAUAGUAAAUGUUGGCUGGUAAUAUAUCUAUUUAUUUUUUGUAUAUAUAUUAACAACCAUUUAACAAAUUUUAUAUGCAGCACAUAGAUGCUCUAAUGAAUUUACUAAUUUUAAGAUACGAUAAGGAUUUUGGGCCACACAAGGCUCGUACGUGGACGUGUAUUGAGAUAAGUUGUUGGGUAAGAAAUUUUUUGCUCCCAGUAUUUGAUGUUUUUUUGUGAAUGCAUGUAACUGUCGAUCGUAGUCAAAUAUGUCAUUUGUGAAUGCAGCAAGCUUUGUCCCAGACAAACAUGGAUGAAAUUUCACGGGUGCUGACGCCAUAUGUUUGUGGCGUCCGGCCUGUUAGCGGAGGAUUAAAAUGGGAAAACGCAAGCCACGUAUUUGGUGUCGCCUACGUCAACAAUAAUCAUUGGGUGUUCUUCAACAUGUGUCUACAUGAACGGCAAAUUAUAGUUUUUAAUUCCUUGGAGCAGCCUUGGGGUGGUGUUGAGUCACAGUUCGAAAAUUUUCGGAAUAACUUGGACCAGUUAUAUAGUGUGGGUGGUUUGUGUGAGCAUCUUGUUGUUCCGGGUAAUUCCAGCAAGGCUUGGCAGGUUAAAGAAUUUCCCAAGCCACCGAGGCAAGUAAAUCUAAAUGAUUGCGGGAUUAUGGCUAUGAAAUUCAUGGAGUGCUAUGCUCAUAAUGUUUCUGUCCAUCAACUUAUUCCGAGCCGUUGUGGCAUGUUUCGUCGUCGUUACUGUGCAUUGUUGUUCGACCUUUCCGAAGAAUGAAAACGUAAAUGAAGACAUGAACGUUGUGUGGUUUGUCUUGGUGUCGCUUGGAUUAUAUUUUGAAUGUUAACGUUUCGUGUAUUGUGGCACUAACAUAUUAAGGUUUAGUGAACACAUUUCCCACUUUUCUUGUUUAUAUCAUGGAGUGAAUUUCAGGUUUUGAUGUUUAAUUAGAUUUUAAGUCUCCAUGUAAAAUAUUGAAAAUUAUGAUUAUUUGCACUUAUUUGCACUUACUUGGCUUCUCAACUUAAAAUUAAAAUUAAUUCAAGUAAAAGAAAAUGUGAAAUUAAUUAAAUGACUUUAUUUAUUUUCUAUAAUUAAUUAAGUAUUUUUUGUAUAAUUAAAUUGGCCUUCAAAAUUGAGCCAACUCAUGAGCCGCUCUGUUUGCAUCUCGCCGCAUAUGCAAGAAAUCCCCUCAUUACAGAAUACUAUAAAUUGCUUCAUCGAAUCUUAAAUAAAUUAUACAUGCAUUUUUUUUUGCUUUUAUUUAUUCUACAAAAAAUAAUACUCCCUUCGUCCAUCACAAGUAUGACACUUUUAAUGGACACAUGUUUUAAAAAAAUUGGUGGUAUUUGUAAGGAUAAAAGAAAAAAAAUGAUAGAGUCAUAUCUUAAAAUAGAAAGUGUCAUAUUUUUCAUGGACACUCAAAAUGACAAAAGUCUCAUACUUUUCGUAGAUAGGGGUAGUAGCAAUUUUCAAAUGGUUUCAAUGAAGUGUGGGGGCAAAUAUGUAUUUUCAACUACGUUCAUGGAGUAAAAUAGUUGAAAUUAAAUAUAAGAGGACAAACUUACUAAAUUUGAGAAGUUUAGGAAACUAUUUAAUGUAUUAUGCUAAUGUUUUUCUAUUUCAUGACAAGUGAAGAGGACAUUUACUAUUAUUAAAAUAACAAUACAUAUUUUGCAUAACUUUUAUAAUAGUUGUGUAUAUAUAAGAAUAGAUAUUCUCGUGUCAGGCCGAAUGUAUGGUGAGACCUAUCGGAUAGAGUUUGUGGAGCGGAUCUGAGCGCAGGUUGGGACGCAGGUUGGGGCAGAUCUGAGCGCGAAUCACGUAUCUGGGUCGUAAUAAAAUGAUUAGGACUUCUACCAAAAUGCAUUUCUUAAAGGUUUCAAAUAACCAUACAAAUGUUUCAAUCUUUUCAUUUGAUAAGAAUGCACAACCAAACAUGAUGGUAUUGGACAUUUGGAAAUUUUAUUUUGAUGUUAUAAUAUAAACCCUAACGAAAAUAUUUACAUUUCUUUAACCUAAUAUAUAUAGAUUUCUUCGUACAAAUGUAUACUAAUGUUUCUUCAAGUAUUUUCUGUCAUUUUAUAUUUCUUGUAAUUACCUAAACACUGAAUACUAAAUCCUAAACAUUGAAUAGUAAACCUUUACUCAUAAAAAUCCGCUUUCUGCAGCUUACGUCAUUUUGACUCCGGAGUUCCACUGGCCAUAUUUUUCCCCGAGGAUCCAUUAACAUUACUUCUUUCUUUGCUUCGAAAUCAUUCCAACUCACGAUUUUUUUUAUCGAUAGGCCGCAAUUUAUAUAAUUAAGAAACAGUUACAUAGCACGUACGAUACACACACAUGUAUAUAUAUAAUUGGUUGGUAAACAUUGCCAGCAUGGCUGAUUUUUUGACAUAAUGACAUGUCAUUUCUUUUCAAAAAAUGGCCACGUAACAACAUCUUUCUUAUUUGCCUUUCCCGUAAAGAAGUAUAGUAUGUACUUAAUUGCAAGAAAGGAAAAGAAGAAAGAUGUUGUAACCGUUUUUUAAAAAGAAAAUGACAUGUCAUUAUGUCAAAAAAUCAGCCAUGCAGGUAAUGUUUAUCAACCAAUUAUAUAUAUACAUGUGUGUGUAUCAUACGUGCUAUGUAACUGUUUCUUGAUUAUAUAAAUUGCGGCCUAUCUAUAAAAAAUUCGUGAGUUGGAAUGAUUUCGAAGCAAAGAAAAAAGUAAUGUUAAUGGAUCCUCGAGGAAAAAUAUGGCCAGUGGAACUCCGGAGUCAAAAUGACGUACGCUGCAGAAAAUAGGGGUGUAAAUGAGUCGAGUCGAGUAUUGCCAUGCUCAGACUCGAGCUCGACUAUUUUGAUGACGCUCGAGCUCGACUCGGCCGAGCUUGAUUUUUUUGAGCUCGAGCUCGACUCGAUGUCAUAUUUGUGAGCUCGAGCUCGACUCGGUUAAGCUCGAUUGUGGAGUCUUUCUAGAGUUUGAGCUCGAGCUCGUUUAAGCUUGUUGAGCUCAAGCUCGUUCAAACUCGGUGAACUCGAGCUCGUUUAAGCUUGUUUCAUACAUCUUUUGUUCAUCUGUUUCUCCAGCUCCACUUCCACCUGUUUCACCAUCUCCACCAUCUCCACUUCCACUUGUUUCACCAUCUCCACUUUCACAUUGAAUGUCAGUAUUUGUAACAAUAUGAUCAUCCAUUGAAUGCUGAAAGUUAAGAGCAACACCCAACCAAUAAAAAAUCAAAUCCCAACAGCAGCAAGCAAUGAAAUUUAGCAAGAAAUCCAUACUUGCGGAGCAAUGAAAUUCAGCAAGAAAUCCCAACAGCAACAAGUUAAAUCCCAACAGCAGCAAGCAAUGAAAUUCAGCAAGAAAUUCGGCAAGCAAUUAAGAUAUCAAAGUUCCAAAUUCUAAUCCACAAAUUGAAUUGGAUAUAUACCUUGGGCAGUUUCAUUAUCUAUUUAAAGAAGUGUUACCUACAAGCAUUACAAAAAGAAGCAACUAAACAAUUAGCUUCUACACGCUUGCAAAAAAAAGUGCCCAGCGCACAAGUCCAACAUCAAGUCUCAUCAAAAUACUUACAUCUUUCUCUUAAUCAACAUUGAUUGGGUCAUCAACUUCGCUGUCCUCGCGAGAUUCCGGCAACUGUCGUAUGUAAUCGGCGUAAUCGGGAUCCAUAUCGUCCCACGAUAUUUCCCUCGCAUGACCGUCUGCCUGAUUUCCUCUCAGAUUCUUUCCACUGACAUUCUUUCUCAUCAUACUGUCAACUUUCUUUCCCCUCGCAUGCUUCUCAGUCUUGAGCCCAACCUUCGUCGAAGUCUGUCCCAUAGCUUGCUUUCCCUUCGUUUGUGCAACAUUCAAUUAAACAACACAAUAGCAACUUUACAGCUUACAAAAUAGCAACAUUCAAUAGCAACUUCACAGCUUAAACAACACAAUAGCAACAUUCAAUAGCAACGUUCAAUUAAACAACACAAUAGCACUUUAUGAUAGGAGUUAGCGAGGGUAAAGCCCCCUUGUAUUUCUUCCUGUAGUUUUCUACAAUCGGAUGUGUUAAGCAUUCAAGUACGGUUUUUGAUAUGGUUUGUUAAGAUCAUCAGCAUCUACAUUCUUUUUUUCCUUUUGCUUUUUAUCUGUGUAGAACUUAAUAGUCAUUUGAAUUACAUUAGUACCUUCGUAGUGUUCGCUACAUUUAGGAAAUCUCAUAUGAGAAUAAAUACAGUUUUUGGGCAAGAUAAGAAAGAAACACUGAUUUCGGAAACUUCAUUUAACGCCGAGGGUCUUCUAGUGAACUAGAAAGAAAGGAAAAGAGACAAAUACCCUUUAAAGUUACAUUCAAUAGCAACGUUCAAUUAAACAACACAAUAGCAACACAUUAGCAACUUUACGAAAAAUGCCGCUAGUCUCAAGAAUAAGAGUCACUUUGAAGAUUACUUCAAGAUGUAAUCUAUAAACUAAAAACAUCCAACUUUACAGAACCCUUGCCAAAAACUCAGAAUAGGCCAAAAACCAAUAGGAACUCACCAGGAAUGUUUGAGUUUGGAAUCCGAUAACUACUUAGUGUAGAGAAGACAAUGACCGCAGAAAUUAAAUUCCAACAAACAACAAGCAUAUUUUAUCCUAGAGAGUGGCCGAAAGGAAUAUCAUAAAAUGUUCCCAAAAACUAGACAACCAACCCCUAGCUUCGAUAUAUAUAUAUGAAUAUGUACUUUUUUCCUUACAACCAAUCAAUGAAGGAAAAAAUUUAACUCUAAACUCAGGAAAAUCCUCAAUUUUACCUGAUUUUUCGAGCUUGACGUCAUCGGCAGUCCACCACUUCGACGCGUCUGCCUUUUUGUGUCAUUCAAUCGGGCAGAAGACGACCUUGUUUGCAUCUUUAAGGUUAUGGAGUGGGCGAUUGUCGAUGGAUGGGGAGGAAGACGCCGGUGUUUAAUUGGGAACGAGGGUUUUUGGUGGAAGAGGAAGAUGACGCCGGUGUGAGGAAGAGUAUAUUGGGGUCGUAGAAAAAAAUUAUGUGGGGUAGCAAUGUGGAGUAGGUUAGCCAUUCGUUGGGCCGACAAAAUAAUUAGGGUCGAUAAAAUAAAUAUGGCUUCGUUGGGCCGAGAAAUUAAAUAGGGCUGUCAUUCACAAAAAUUUAACAAAAAGAAAAUUCACAUCCAUGUGUUAGGGGAUGUAGGUUUCGAACCUAUUACCUCCGAUAUAUUUUCACAAAUAUUUAGCCACCUUGCCCGGCAGUGGCAGCCGCAACAUUUACCGGCUCGAAAUUUAGUUAUGUGUUGGGCGCGUGUAUUUUUUAUUAAAAUUUCAAGUAUUUAUUUUUUAUUUUAUGAAAUUCUCUAAUUUAACCUUAACUAAUCAAACUUAUUUUUAACUUAUUUAUGUGACAUUUUUUAGUGUUCUUAUUAAUUUUAGAAUAAUCAACUUGAAUACUCAAUUUUUAAUAUUGAUUUUCCACAUUUAGCAAUCUUAGAUUUAUUUAUUUGUUUAAAACCUCACUACCAUAUAUUUGAUGACCUCUAUAAAUGAGCAUGUUAUUAAUAACAAUUUAAUAAAAACCAUUUAUAAUUAUUUAACUCUCUCAAUUUUACGUAUUAUUUUAAAAAUAUUGAUCAUCAACUUUAAUUUCAAUUUCAAUAAUCUAAAAUUUCAUUUUACAACUUCAAUAUACUUACAAAAAAUUAUAAUAUUACUACUAUGUAUUAUAAAUUUGUACGAAUAAGUAAACCGUGCAUCCACGAGUAAAAACUAGUUUAUUUAAAGAGGAAGAUGCUAUAUGAUAAGUUGAGACAUUUGAAAGACAUUGGCAGGAAAUCUUGGUUUGUAUGCAUGUCACAAUUAUUUAAUUUGUCUAAAGAAUUUGAAUUAAAUUUAACAUAUAACGUAUUUGUUUGUAACUUAUAAAGCACAAUCAUUUUUUAGUCCAAAAAAUUGCAUGCUCUCCAACUUCACAACAAAUUUCUCGGAUUGAAAUGCACAUAAUAUUUGAAUAGACUACCGAAGCGAUAUUUGGAAUAGACGGACAUCAAAUACUUCGAAUAAAUAAGUAUUUACAGCUUUUAUGCAAGUAAAUCAACCGUGAAUAACUAAAUAAAUUGCUCCACAAUAAAACACACAUGCAAAUUCAAAUCAAGAGAUGCAAAGAGAUAGGUUAAAUGAAAGUCUAAACUCAAUAUAUGAAUUAGAUUAGGGCCUUGAAUGCUAAUGUAAUCCAUCGCAGACAAUUCAAAAGACACAAGACUUGAAGUUUGGCCACAGAGGCAACAAAUACAAUCCAUCACGACAAAAGGCAACAAAACUAACCCAAACAUAUGGAAGUAAGAAUACGUCGAUCUAAUCCACCGAAAAACGAUCGGAGUCGUCCAACUCUUCAUUGAGGUUAGCUUGCGAACAACCAACUUGACUACCUACUGGCACAUCAAGUUCAUUUACAUCUGCAUCUGCAUGGAUACAAGUAUUGAUAGUUAGUGGAUCGUAGAUAAGCUUUCGAAAAUGUCAAUAAAUAAAUUGCUGACCUUGAAGUACUGCUUUAUUUGCUUCCGCUACACGACCUGCCCAGUAUUUACUAAACAUUUUGCGCCUAGGCCGAGUCUUCCUCUUUUGAAUGGGGUUUUUUAUAGUCCGAUGCAGUUGCUCACGAGUGGAUUUAUGUGACCCCAUACCACUGCUUCCCAAACUGGCUUCGUUUCUCAAAUUCUUCAAUGCAACUUCCAUGUUAUUUAUGUAUUCAUUGAUUGCAUUUCGGCAAUUUGAAUCAUCUUUGCACUCAGCCAAAAUGUCGUAAACACGUUUCGUGUUGUGGUUCACGAAAAUCAUGUUACUCAAGUUGUUUGUUCCCCACUCAUCGCUUGCAUCAUUAAUUGGAGCUACUCUUCUUUUGUGUCACGCUUCCAUCUUUUCAACAACAUCUCAGGUGGAAUGCUAUCCAUGUUCAAAUGAAAAUAGACUCUAAACAAGUGGCGGCACAUAAUGCCCUCAGUCUCCCACAUAUGGCACGAACACCAUGCCAUUUCUGAUUCUUGAUUGAACCUAACAGUCCGGAAUCCUGUUACUGCCAAUCUUGAAAACACUUUGAACACCAACACCUCAUCGUUUAAGUCGGGGGGUUCGUGUGUCAUCUUUACAGAAACUGAAUGCAGAGACUCGAACUCAAAAGAUCUGAAGAUGCUCUUAGUACAUAGCUCAGCAACCUGGACUAAGAUGCCAGUUUGUUGCACAAACAUUCCAGGCGUUCCACGACACAGAGUGUCCUCUUCAAACUCGGUUUGACGCCAAUUUUUCAAAAUGCGUUCAAAACCAAUGACAAAAUCAUAAACGGUAGAGGUCGAGCUACACAAGUCUUUGAUUACUUUAUUCGUAACUUCACUUCGAGAUGUCGCAUGUAAACCACCGGAAAAUUUAUCUCUAGUGAAAGCGGAGGACCAACGCUUCCUCAAAUUAUACAUGGUUGAAAACCAUCUAUUCUUCGACAAGUUGUGCUCUACAAUCAAACUAAGCCAAGUAGUUUCAAAUUCUUCUUCACUUUCACAACCAUUCAUGCAUUGGUACCACAAAGUCUUGAACCCCUUAUCGUUGUUUAGUUGCCCAAAUUGCUUUGCCGCAUUUUUGUUAACAUGCCACUGACAAAGUCUGUGUGCUUCUUCGUGGAAUGUGUGAUCAACACCAUUCAUAAGGGCCUGAUCUUGGUCUGAGAAUAUUAUUGACGACUCUUUUUGAUACAUAGCCUCGAGGAACGUUUUAAACAACCACACGUAAGACUCACUUCUUUCAUUGGUCAAGAAGCCAACUGCAAACAUAACGUUCGUCCGGUGAUGGUUUAUGCCAACAAAUGGAACACAAAUCAAGUCAUACUUGUUGGUCUUAUAUGUAGAAUCAACAGAUAAAACAUCACCAAAAUGUUGAUAAUCUAUUAAGCAUCUAGAAUCCCGAAAAAAUAGAUUUUUCAACCUGCCAUCUUCACCAACCUUUACCUUCCAAAAAAAUGAUGGGUCGCUGCGUCAUUUCUCUGUGAAAAACUCCAACAAUCGAUUCACAUCUGCAUUUGCCACCUUAUUCAGGUUUCUAGCUUCACGACCCAUCUCAUUGUAUACAUCCUUGCAUGUAAAUCCUAUGUUUGCACGACAUCCAGCUUGAUUCUCCAAGAAACGGUAUGCACGGCUAACGCCAAUCCCACUUGACUUCAUACCCAUGAUGAAACGCUUUUGAGUAUGUUUCAUAUUGCGGGCUGAGCGAAGUAAAUAACUCUGAGUUGGCUUAAGCAACUCAUGGUUGUGUUGGUUCGCAAAUAAACUUACAAUCCACGGAGAAUCGAUGUGAUCCCUACAAAUGCGUAAUCUUUCCCUGCAAUUGCUCAUGUGCGUUUGCUUCUUAUAGGCAGCCACUCUGCCAUUUGAGCGCUUCCUAUCGGUUUGUCCAGCACAAGAACAGAGAAAGGCUUUCGAGCAUACAUCUAAUGUACGUUUGAAAUACGCUUGACUUCCUUUUCUUACCGAAAAACCCAUAAGUCCAGCAUAUCGCCGAUAAGCUUUUAAAACAUCCUUCUCCCUGCCAAACACACUUCCAACCUUAAUCAUAGAUUCAGCUUUACUUUGCAACUCCUCAACACAAUUCAUCGGAACUUCACCGGUUUCUUGCGCAUCCUCAUCUAUACUAUUCUUAGGAGUACCCAUGUCCACAUCAUCGCCCGCUUCAUCCUCGUCACUGCUGCCCGAAAGCAUUCUUUCAUCCGGCGACACCUCCAUUUCAUCGGUAGAGACGUUAUCACCAAAAUGACCAAAAUUUGCUCUACCGCUCAAACUAUCAUCACCUUCAUCACGCCAGUACGAUAUAUUCAAAUCUACUCUCAUUUUGCAUCAAUGCCAAAUAAAUAUAUCUGUAAUGGAUAACGGGGUUUUUAACAAUCAACGAAACUAAUUUUAGGAAGAACAUUAUAAGAAGAACAUGCGUCAUGUAAGAAGAACAUAGCGUGCAACCGUUUAAGAAGAACAUAGCGCGUAACCGUGUAAGCGUGUAUCGUGUAAGGAAGAACUUAGCGUGAAUCUUGAAACAGAAUAUGAGAUUGAAAAAAAAUAAAAAAAUUGACGGAUACCAUAAACGAAAAACAGUGCAGAUUUAUCUUGAGACAGAAAAGGGGAAAAAAGAACAAAAAAAACCUUCCUCCAGGCUCCAGCAUUAUAAUGGAAAAUAAAAGGAUAUUACCUGCCCGAAAAUAAUUCUUGUCUGAAAAACGGACCGAAAAAUUUCUCUUACAACAAUCGAAAACGUCUCAAGGAAAGUAAGCUCAAAUACAUUUUGCUAAGAAUAAAAUUCUCGUAUGAGUAAGCUCAGGGGACGGAAGGAAGCUCAAAUACUUAAUGCUUCAAUAAAAAAACGUCUCAGAGAAGGUGGAUAAAAAACAAAAGAAAAUACGAAUAAACGACACAGUUUUCAAAGCACCAAAUUUGAAAAAAUGAAAAAUAGGAAAAGUUAAAUCAGAAAACCAUGUACCCGAGAACCGGUGGUAUUGGACAUGGGUAACCGGUCUAGGUUACUAAAAGCCGAACCGAACUAAGGGGACACGUGUCAUGAUCCUAAGAACAGCGUUCACGUGAACAAUGUUCAGCAUAGACGCUUCCCGUAAAAUGGAAAAAAAUCAAUUCCCAAAGGACUGAUAGCAAUUCCAAAUCUUGAUCAACUCCAAAUCUUGAGCAACUCCAAAUGACGUCUCAUUCCCAACACAGACUAUUUAUGGAGGCGCAUAAAGAGAAGAGCCGGAGACGGUUGCUGCUGUGGGGGCCGAAGGUUCAGCUGAGGCUGUAGGGUCGGAGGUUCAGCUGCGGCGAGAGGCAUCUGGACAGCAGGCUCGCGGUCGGCGCAGGGCAAGGAGCCAGAGAGAGGUGGGAGGGAUUCGCCAGGCGCAGUCGGUGACGGGAAGGCAGGCUCGCGGCGAGAAACGGCCAACCGCAGUUGUGGGAGCUUGGGGCUGGGAGGGAUUCUGUGGGUGUGGGUACCGGGUACAGAUCUGAGUUCAG